UACGUAGGGUGCAAGCGUUGUCCGGAAUUAUUGGGCGUAAAGAGCUCGUAGGCGGUUUGUUGCGUCGGGAGUGAAAACUCAGGGCUUAACCCUGAGCCUGCUUCCGAUACGGGCAGACUAGAGGUAUGCAGGGGAGAACGGAAUUCCUGGUGUAGCGGUGAAAUGCGCAGAUAUCAGGAGGAACACCGGUGGCGAAGGCGGGUCUCUGGGCCGAUACUGACGCUGAGGAGCGAAAGCGUGGGGAGCGAACAGG
rnacentral:rRNA from 1 species